GACGAACGCUGGCGGCGUGCUUAACACAUGCAAGUCGAGGGCAUUACGGGGGCAACUCUGUAGUGACCGGCGAACGGGUGCGUAACACGUGAGCGACCUUGCCUCGUGGGUGGGGGAUAGCCGGCCCAACGGCCGGGUAAUACCGCAUAUGGUAGUUUCUUCGCAUGGGGAGACUAGCAAAGCCCUGGAGCAAUCCAGUGGCGCCACAGGGGGGGCUCGCGGCCUAUCAGCUAGUUGGGGGGAAUGGCCCACCAAGGCGACGACGGGUAGCUGGUCUGAGAGGAUGGCCAGCCACAUUGGGACUGAGAGACGGCCCAGACUCCUACGGGAGGCAGCAGUGGGGAAUCUUGCGCAAUGGCCGAAAGGCUGACGCAGCGACGCCGCGU
rnacentral:rRNA from 1 species